rnacentral:rRNA from 1 species
GACGAACGCUGGCGGCGUGCUUAACACAUGCAAGUCGAACGGAAAGGCCCUGCCUUUGUGGGGUGCUCGAGUGGCGAACGGGUGAGUAACACGUGAGUAACCUGCCCUUGACUUUGGGAUAACUUCAGGAAACUGGGGCUAAUACCGGAUAGGAGCUCCUGCUGCAGGGAGGGGGUUGGAAAGUUUCGGCGGGUGUGGAUGGACUCGCGGCUUAUCAGCUUGUUGGUGGGGUAGUGGCUUACCAAGGCUUUGGCGGGUAGCCGGCCUGAGUGGGUGACCGGCCACAUUGGUACUGAGAUACGGCCCAGACGCCUACGGGAGGCAGCAGUGGGGAAUAUUGCACAAUGGUCGGAAGCCUGAUGCAGCAACGCCGCGUGCGUGAUGACGGCCUUCGGGUUGUAAACCGCUUUCGCCUGUGACGAAGCGUGAGUGACGGUAAUGGGUAAAGAAGCACCGGCUAACUACGUG